UCAAUACUCCCUCCGUCCCAAAAUUCUUGUCCUAGAUUUGUCUAAAUAUGGAUGUAUCAAGUCACGUUUCAGUAUUAGGUACAUCUGUAUCCACACAAAUAUAAAACAAGAAUUUUGGGACGGAGGGAGUACAUG
rfam:Triticum aestivum genome assembly, contig: Triticum_aestivum_CS42_TGACv1_scaffold_405467_5BL